AGUAAAUAGAUACCCCGGUAGUCCACGUCGUAAACGAUGUCGACUUGGAGGUUGUGCCCUUGAGGCGUGGCUUCCGGAGCUAAACGCGUUAAAGUCGACCGCCUGGGGAGUACGGCCGCAAGGUUAAAACUCAAAUGAAUUGACGGGGGCCCGCACAAGCGGUGGAGCAUGUGGUUUAAUUCGAUGCAACGCGAAGAACCUUACCUACUCUUGACAUCCAGAGAACUUAGCAGAGAUGCUUUGGUGCCUUCGGGAACUCUGAGACAGGUGCUGCAUGGCUGUCGUCAGCUCGUGUUGUGAAAUGUUGGGUUAAGUCCCGCAACGAGCGCAACCCUUAUCCUUUGUUGCCCGCGGUUAGGCCGGGAACUCAAAGGAGACUGCCAGUGAUAAACUGGAGGAAGGUGGGGAUGACGUCAAGUCAUCAUGGCCCUUACGAGUAGGGCUACACACGUGCUACAAUGGCGCAUACAAAGAGAAGCGACCUCGCGAGAGCAAGCGGACCUCAUAAAGUGCGUCGUAGUCCGGAUUGGAGU
rnacentral:rRNA from 1 species